GGGGGGGCAAUUGCAGAGUGUGUGCUCAGGGAUCGUCCGCAGGAAUAGCCCUGGUGCCCCGGCUGCCCUUUGGGAUUUUUGCACGGCCGAUUGGACGAAAGCUCCGACUCGGAUCCCGGAAGUUCAGCGGCUCCUGGUUUUCCCUCUCACCCCAGAAGCCAAUUAAACAAUUAACCGCUUCGUCUUCUUCGCUGGAGAUGCGUUUUCACGAAGGUCCGCCAACAGGCACGGGUGCCCCCCGAAACACCCGAGGCCGGAGAGAGGGGUGAUUGUUCGGUUGGAGCUCUGGGGCAGCAGGACCCCGAAGACACCAGCCCCCCUCGGGGAGAAUGCGGGGUGCUCACUGGACUGAUGGGAAGAAACAUCGACCCCCAGCAGCUGGAUUACGUGACCAUCUGGUUUUCAGAAAACGCUUUUUAUGAGAGUAUCAAAAAAACAGUGGAAGUUUAAUGACUGGGAAAAUUCCAUUGCCCUGUUGAAGGACACCAGUGGAACUGAGCAUCUGUAACCUUCUAGCGCAGAGGGCGGGCUUGUCUGGUCUGGACAUACUGGGCAGCUUGAGUGGAAAACUAGUGGGAAGUCUGGAUCAGGGUUUGGGAUAAAAACCCACUUGGCUCAGGGAGUUACUUUAAUAGAAUCGGUCUGUGUCCUGUCAGAACUAAGGCUUUUUGGCCAGUCUUUUGUAUCUGUUUUAUUUCAAAACCGCAAAGAACCAGUUACUAAGAUAGUAGACAAAGGGGCAGAGAAAUCACUGAGUUUUUGCAACAGCUUAGUAAAUUAAGGCAGUGGAAAUUGUCUGUGUGUAUCACUCAAUAAAUCUAAAACUAGAAUUCUAACCAUGGGACUGUUCCACUUUGUUCGUUACUGUUUGGGAGACUCUGGGAGAAUGAGGGCUCUUUGACAGGACCGCACGUCCCAC
rnacentral:lncRNA from 1 species